rnacentral:rRNA from 1 species
UACGGAGGGGGCGAGCGUUGUUCGGAAUCAUUGGGCGUAAAGGGUGCGUAGGCGGUCGCGCAAGUCGGAUGUGAAAUCUCAGGGCUCAACCCUGAAACUGCAUUCGAUACUGCGUGGCUAGAGUGCUGGAGGGGAGACUGGAAUUUACGGUGUAGCAGUGAAAUGCGUAGAUAUCGUAAGGAAGACCAGUGGCGAAGGCGAGUCUCUGGACAGCAACUGACGCUGAGGCACGAAGGCCAGGGGAGCAAACGGG